UCCUACGGGAGGCAGCAGUAGGGAAUCUUCGGCAAUGGACGAAAGUCUGACCGAGCAACGCCGCGUGAGUGARGAAGGUUUUCGGAUCGUAAAACUCUGUUGUUAGAGAAGAACAAGGACGUUAGUAACUGAACGUCCCCUGACGGUAUCUAACCAGAAAGCCACGGCUAACUACGUGCCAGCAGCCGCGGUAAUACGUAGGUGGCAAGCGUUGUCCGGAUUUAUUGGGCGUAAAGCGAGCGCAGGCGGUUUYUUAAGUCUGAUGUGAAAGCCCCCGGCUCAACCGGGGAGGGUCAUUGGAAACUGGGAGACUUGAGUGCAGAAGAGGAGAGUGGAAUUCCAUGUGUAGCGGUGAAAUGCRWA
rnacentral:rRNA from 1 species